GGCACGGUGGCAUAGUGGUUAGCACUGUUGCCUCACAGCAAGAAGGUCGUAGGUUCAAUUCCAACCUGGAGCCU